ACCCGCUGAACUUAAGCAUAUCAAUAAGCGGAGGAAAAGAAACUAACAAGGAUUCCCCUAGUAACGGCGAGUGAAGCGGGAUGAGCUCAAAUUUAAAAUCUGGCUGGUUUACUAGUCCGAAUUGUAGUUUAUAGAAGCGUUUUCGGUGGCAGCCUGGGUAUAAAUCCUUUGGAAUAGGGUAUCAUAGAGGGUGAGAAUCCCGUCUUUGACUCAGUGCAUGCUACUAUGUGAUACGUUUUCAAAGAGUCGAGUUGUUUGGGAAUGCAGCUCAAAAUGGGUGGUAAAUUUCAUCUAAAGCUAAAUAUUGGCGAGAGACCGAUAGCGAACAAGUACCGUGAGGGAAAGAUGAAAAGAACUUUGAAAAGAGAGUUAAACAGUGCGUGAAAUUGUUGAAAGGGAAACGUUUGACACCAGUUAUGCGGGUGGAAAAUCAGUCUUUUGCAAUGGGGAGUUGUGGCGUUCAGACCGCAAGGCUGGCGUUUGCUUCAUCUUUGUUGUAAGUGAUGCACUUUUUCAUUUGCAGGUCAACAUCAGUUUGCUUUGCUGGACAAAACCCCAAGGGAAGGUGGCAGCUUAGGCUGUGUUAUAGCCCUGGGGCGAUACAGUGGAGUGGACUGAGGUUUCGCAGUGUGUGCUCUCGGGCAAGGCUGACUGGGUGCUAUGGGAUCGUUCGGCGUACAAUGCAUGCAUUUUGCGUCGUGUCUUUUUCAUACUCGCUCAACUCGGCUCUUCCACACUUAGGAUGUUGACUUAAUGGUUUUAAACGACCCGUCUUGAAACACGG
rnacentral:rRNA from 1 species